UACGUAGGUGGCGAGCGUUGUCCGGAUUUACUGGGCGUAAAGAGCGCGCAGGCGGUCGUACAAGUCGCGUGUGAAAGCCCCCGGCUCAACUGGGGAGGGUCACGCGAUACUGUUCGACUCGAAGGCAGGAGAGGGUAGUGGAAUUCCCGGUGUAGUGGUGAAAUGCGUAGAUAUCGGGAGGAACACGAGCGGCGAGGGCGACUACGUGGACUGUUAUUGACGCUGAGGUGCGAAAGCGUGGGGAGCAA
rnacentral:rRNA from 1 species